UCAAGGGAAGGAGGGGACGAGCAAGGGUUUGUUCCAAACCCUAAAACCUUCAUAAAACUCAAAAUUGAAGCUAUAAAUCUGCUCCAAAUCAAGUUCUAAACACGAAUUAGUGAUCACCUCGUCAUAGGGAUCAAAAGGCAAAGAGUCCGGAUCAUCAAGCGGACAAGCCGGCGAGAAUACACGGGGAAAAGGCGUGCUCUAAAGUUUUCAGGUUUUCUUGUAGAAGGAUGAUGAUCAAGCAUAUGUAUCCGAACCGAACACUCUAACAAACGCUUCCGCACUUGAUCGUUUGUUUUAAAAA